AUAACCUCUCAGUUAGAUGGUGCCUCAGGAAACUGGGGUGAAAAGGGAAUGCUGUGCGAGGGUUAGCCCUCAAAUCAGCAGCCGUGCCUGCGACCGUAAGCGGAUAGCCGCGUUUCUCUUGGCCAAAGCCAAGAUGUGCCACUGGGCCCCAAAUGGGUUCGGGAAGGCCGAAACAAAGCCGUGACCCGUAAGUCGGGAGACCUGCCAUCGCCGUCGUUCGUCC
rnacentral:ncRNA from 2 species